GACGAACGCUGGCGGCGUGCCUAAUACAUGCAAGUAGAACGCAGUUGCGAACGGGGGAGUAACGCGUAGGUAACUGCCUCAUAGCGGGGGAUAACCAUUGGAAACGAUAGCUAAUACCGCAUACUGUGAGAUGGACCUGCGUUGUAUUAGCUAGUUGGUGAGGUAAAGGCUAACCAAGGCGACGAUACAUAGCCGGCCUGGGAUGGUGGUCGGCCACACUGGGACUUGGACACGGCCCAGACUCCUACGGGGGGCAGCGGGAGGGAAACAUCGUCAAUUGACGGAAGUCUUACCGAGCAACGCCGCGGGAGUGAAGAAAGUUUUCCGGUCGGAAAACUAUGUUGUUAGAGAAGCGUUAACUAACCAGAAAGGGACGGCUAACUACGUGCCAGCAGCCGCGGUAAUUC
rnacentral:rRNA from 1 species